ACGAUUAAAGCACCUUCGGGUGUGUAUAAAGUGGCGAACGGCUGAGUAACACGUGGGCAACCUGCCCCUCUCAUUGGGAUAGCCACGGGAAACCGUGGAUAAUACCGAAUACUUCGAGACUUCCGCAUGGAAGACUCGAGAAAGCUCCGGCGGAGAGGGAUGGGCCCGCGGCCUGUUAGCUUGUUGGUGGGGUAACGGCCUACCAAGGCAAUGAUGGGUAGCUGGGUUGAGAGACCGACCAGCCAGAUUGGGACUGAGACACGGCCCAGACUCCUACGGGAGGCAGCAGUGGGGAAUCUUGCACAAUGGGCGAAAGCCUGAUGCAGCGACGCCGCGUGCGGGAUGAAGGCCUUCGGGUUGUAAACGCUUUCAGCAGGGACGAGGCGAAAGUGACGGUACCUGCAGAAGAAGCCCCGGCUAACUACGUGCCAGCAGCCGCGGUAAUACGUAGGGGGCAAGCGUUAUCCGGAUUCAUUGGGCGUAAAGCGCUCGUAGGCGGUCUGUUAGGUCGGGAGUUAAAUCCGGGGGCUCAACCCCCGUUCGCUCCCGAUACCGGCAGACUUGAGUUUGGUAGGGGAAGGUGGAAUUCCUAGUGUAGCGGUGGAAUGCGCAGAUAUUAGGAAGAACACCAGUGGCGAAGGCGGCCUUCUGGGCCAUAACUGACGCUGAGGAGCGAAAGCUAGGGGAGCAAACAGGAUUAGAUACCCUGGUAGUCCUAGCCGUAAACGAUGGACACUAGGUGUGGGGGAAUAUUUCUUCCGUGCCGCAGUAACGCAUU
rnacentral:rRNA from 1 species